UGACCUCGUGAUCCACCUGCCUCGGCCUCCCAAAGUGCUGGGAUUACAGGCUUGAGCCACCGCACCCGGCCCAUACCGACUGUUGACAAGAACAUGGAACAACUGGAACUCUCAUACACUCCCAGUGGGAAUGCAAAAUGAUGCAACGUCUUUGGAAAAGCUUGGCCAUUUCCUAAACUCAUCAUAAGAACCAGCAAUUCCACUCCUAGGUACCUGCCCAAGAAAUGAAAACAAAAUAUAUAUAUUUUUUCUUAGGGAUGGGAUCUUGCUCUGUCACCCAGGCUAGAGAGCAUGGUCACAGCUCACUGCAGCCUCACCCUCCCAGGCUCGAGUGAUCCUUCCACCUCAGCCUCUCGAGUAGCUGGGACUACAGGGAGUGACACAAUACCUGGCUGAUUUUUAAAUUAUUUUUUUGUAGAAACAGGGUCUCACUGCGUUGCCCAGGCUGGCUCGAACUGGGUUCCAGCAAUCCUCCCGCCUCAGCCUCCGAAAAUGCUGGGAUUACAAGCAUGAGUCACCAUGCCUGGCCUGAAAACAUCUUCUCUAACACAAAGAUUUGUAUGUGAACGUUCUGUGAGAAGAAUGAGAGCCUGGCGAGUGCAGGCUAGGUUGAGGAGAAGCCACCGGAUAGCACAGAACAGCUUCUGGAGCACCAGGCUUCUGUGGCCAUUUGGAGUGGGAGGUGCAAAAUUGAGCAAAUGCAUAAAACAGAAGAAACGCUGGAAAAGCAAGAAAAGUGCUAGACUCAGAGUCAAGCAGACCCAGUAGAAAACCUGAGAAAAGGACAGCUCAGACUCGAUGGAAGCUUAUUUUUCUCUCAUUGUCAAGAUAUUGGCCGGGCGCGGUGGCUCACACCUGUCGUCCCAGUACUUUGGGAGGCCGAGGUGAGUGAAUUGCUUGAGGUCAGGAGUUCGAGACCAGCCUGACCAACAUGGUGAAACCCCGUCUCUACUAAAAAUACAAAAAAAUUAGCUGAGCGUGGUGGUGGGUGCCUGUAAUCCCAGCUACUCGGGAGGCUGAAUCAGGAGAAUCACUUGAACCGGGGAGGCGGAGGUUGCAGUGAGCUGAAUUGUGCCACUGCACCCCAGCCUGGACAACAGAGCAAGACACCGUCUCAAAAACAAAAACAAAAUCUGUUUAGAGGGUGCCAGGGCUUGUAUGACAAGGAGUGUCACAGUGUCAGGAACCUGGGCUCCCUUUACUCCUUUUAUCCUGUGGCUCUGCCAUACGUAGUUUUAUUUUUUUUCUUUUUGUUUGUUGUUGUUUUUUGAGAUGGAGUUUUGCUCUGUUGCCCAGGCUGGAGUGCAGUGGCGCAAUCUUGGCUCACUGCAACCUCCGCCUCCCGGGUUCAAGUGAUUCUCCUGCCUCAGCCUCCAGAGUAGCUGGGACUACAAGUGCAUGCCACCACACCUGGCUAAUUUUUUGUCUUUUUAGUAGAGACAGGGUUUCACCAUGUUGGCCAGGCUGGUCUCCAACUCCUGACCUCACGUGAUCCACCCUCCUCAGCUUCCCAAAGUACUGGGAUUACAGGCAGGAGUCACUGUGCCUGGCCUCUUUUUUUCCUUUUUUUUAGAGACAGAAUCUGGCUUUGUGGCCCAGGCUUGAGUGCAGUGCUGAGACAGGAGAAUAAGACCUGGAGGCAGGGAACCUGAGGACUUCCCAGAACUAAAUCAAAUGGAGAGGAGAGAGGAGGCACUUCAGCCACAACAGGAAAUAUCCUCUUCAUUUACAUAGGGUGUUCACCAAGUACAUGACUUUGUAACUUCAUCCUCUUCAUUUACAUAGGGUGUACACACAGUAAAUAGCUUUGUAACUUCACUUUGGUAACUCACUUUAAGCCUCUUCAUUUACAUA
ensembl:lncRNA